UACGUAGGGUGCAAGCGUUAAUCGGAAUUACUGGGCGUAAAGCGUGCGCAGGCGGUUGUGCAAGACCGAUGUGAAAUCCCCGGGCUUAACCUGGGAAUUGCAUUUGUGACUGUACGGCUAGAGUGUGUCAGAGGGGGGUAGAAUUCCACGUGUAGCAGUGAAAUGCGUAGAGAUGUGGAGGAAUACCGAUGGCGAAGGCAGCCCCCUGGGAUAACACUGACGCUCAUGCACGAAAGCGUGGGGAGCAAACAGG
rnacentral:rRNA from 1 species